AUUUGGUUAGGAUUUGAUUUAGGGUUAGAAUUUGGUUAGGAUUUGAUUUAAGAUUAGGAUUUGAUUUAGGGUUUAGGAUUUGAUUUAGGGGUGGUUAGGAUUUGAUUUACGAUUAGGAUUUGAUUAGGAUUUGAUUUAGGAUAAGAAUUUGAUUAAGAUUUGAUUAAGAUUUGAUUUAGGAUUAAGGUUUGGUUUAGGGUUUAGGAUUUGGUUAGGAUUUGAUUUAAGAUUAGAAUUUGGUUUAAAGUUUAGGAUUUGGUUAGGGUUUGAUUUAGGAUUAAGAUUUGGUUUAGAAUUUAGGAGUUGAUUAGGAUUUGAUUUAGGAUUUAGGAUUUGGUUUAGGAUUUAGGAUUUGAUUUAGGAUUUAAGGUUUAGUUAGGAUUUGAUCAGGAUUUGAUUUAGGGUUUAGGAUUUUAUUUGAGAUUGUUUAGGAUUUAAGAUUUAGUUAGUUUUUGGCCUAAAGCUAGAAUGAAGUAGGAUUUCAACUAGGAUUAAAUUAAGAUUGAAUUGAGAUAUAUUUGAAAUAUGUUUGUAAUCAUUCUAAUAUUUUUUUAAGAUUUCUUAUUGUUUCUUUGAAAUUCUUUUAAGAUUUCUCUGAAUUUGAUUAAAGCUUAUUUAGCAUUAUUAGUGUUCUAUUAGAAUUAGGAUUUUGUUGUUGCAAUUUCCAUUCUACCUUCCACAACCAAGUGCCCGAAGCAUUCUCAAGACUUCAUAUAUCAUGACAAUUUCUAUAUAUAAAAUUAUUUCUAUAGCGGCAAUUACAUCAAUAUAUAAACCUUAAGUAUCAAAGGUCAUUAAAAAUAUAAUGAAAAUAUUAUUAACCUUGUAUAUCCUUAAGAUAAUUUUUUUUGAACUUCAAUAUUUGAUAUCUCAUAAUCAGACUAUGUCAACAAAUUAAAAUUUUAAAUGAAGUAUUGAUAUACUUUUUAUAACUAUUGCAAUAAAUUUUAAUUGUAAAUUCAUUACGGAACUUGAGAUAUCACCAAAAUCCUAAUAAUAGCUUCAAAUCCUUACCUACAUACUUUUGUAUGCAAUGUUCUUCAUAUCACACAAAGUUAGUACUCAAAUGCUAUAAAACUUUGAUAUAUAGCUUCUUAACCUAAUGUUAUAUAUUUUUGUAAAUUUUGAGCUAAAAAUUCAUAUGAAAACUUAAGAUAUGAUUCUAAUCAUU
rnacentral:lncRNA from 1 species